AGACAACAAAUGCUGUGUAAAAUUAUGCAAACUGACAUCUUUUUCAUGUAUGUAAACUUCUAAAAAGAUAUGAUCUAGAUUAUCUGAAAUGCUAUCAAAAAAAUUAUUAUAUUCUUUUGUUCCUAAAGAUGUUUUCUAAUGUUUGUACCAUUCUCCUAAAACUGGUGGCACUGUGAGUAUGAGGAACUGUACAUAUAAAAGAGCAGCCCGCCUCUUUACAUAGAGAUCACUUUUACUGGAGCACAGUUCAGUUAGCAACAUUGCAGUGGUCAUACACACGAUGCUGGAAUUUAAGUGGAUUGCAGUUUUACUCUACACCUUAAGUUGGAUCUCUGCCAUAGUCACACAGUUUCAUGCUGCUGAGGUUCAGGCUGGAGAAGAAGUCACACUGGAGUGCUCCAACUCUUGGUUGCAUAUUCUGGUUCAAAAUGAUCAACAGACCCAACACAAGCUGCAUCUUGUUUAUAUACAGUGCUGAUAGCAACGCUUCAAAAAUGGCAAAUAUAACAUGAUGCCCACUGUGCUGUGCUGGACUUAUUUGACGUGUUUUAUUUCUUUGGAGAAUUUAACACUAAUACUCAGUGCAACAUGUUUAACAAUUCAUGGUAUGGCUUUUUUGAAGACAUCCCAAUAAAAUACACAUUCAUAUUUUACUCAUUUUUAGAAUAAUUACUUGCCUCAAACCACAGCAGACCAAACGUUAUGAGAAUAUUCUUAUUUCAGUUAUAAGUAAAAUUAUAGUGCUACAUGUAUGUCAUUUGUCUCUUUCCUGAAAGAAACCACUGAAUCAUAACUGUAGUUCUGGAGUGCAGAUGCAACUCAAGAAACUUCGCAAGUUUAUUUACAGCACAGGAAUAAAUCACAAAUUAUUUUCUCUGUAAAACCUUCUUUCAUCAAUCUCUCUCUGUCUCAGCCAAAACUCUAGGAUUUCUGUGCAGAAGAGGGGAAAAAAGGGUUAAUAAUUCACAGGGCAAAUACUGAGCAAACAUUCAAGCAACAAGAGCCAGCUUCACUAAUGCAGUUAGUUCAACAAUCCAGUACUGACUGAAGGAAUUCCUCAAUCUCAAGUAAUAGCUGGAAAUAAGAUUAUCAAUAGGUGAACUUGUUACCUCAAAGUGUGUGGAUGUAGAGGGUGGGAACCCAGGAAAGGUCCCGCCCCUGAAACACGAAGAACCUGUCUCUCAGCCUCUCAGCGGUUUCAAUGGGAAACACGUUUGAAGAGCUAACUCAUCAUCCCAGGACUCUGCAGUCUAUUUACACCUGCAGGCCAGUGGACACUCUUUCAAUGAUGAGGAUGUACACAUCCUGGACAGGGAGGAACGCUGGUUUGAGCAGGGAGUCAAGGAGGCCAUUUACGUGAAAAGGGAAAAACCAUCUCUGAAUCGAGGAGGAGGCCUAAGGGUACAUUAUUCCCCAUCUUAAAAUGCUGUGAUUGCAGCCAUUUCCCAACUCUCUGUGAAUGGUGCUCAUGGCUAUUGAUCAGUGGUCAUGACAAUGUGCAUAUUAAUGAUCAAGGAACUGA